rnacentral:rRNA from 1 species
AGAGCGAACGCUGGCGGCAGGCCUAACACAUGCAAGUCGAGCGCCCGGGCAACCGGGAGCGGCAGACGGGUGAGUAACACGUGGGAACAUGCCCUUCGGUUCGGAAUAACUCAGGGAAACUUGAGCUAAUACCGGAUACGUCCGUAAGGAGAAAGAUUUAUCGCCGAAGGAUUGGCCCGCGUCUGAUUAGCUAGUUGGUGGGGUAAUGGCCCACCAAGGCUACGAUCAGUAGCUGGUCUGAGAGGAUGAUCAGCCACACUGGGACUGAGACACGGCCCAGACUCCUACGGGAGGCAGCAGUGGGGAAUAUUGGACAAUGGGCGCAAGCCUGAUCCAGCCAUGCCGCGUGAGUGAUGAAGGCCCUAGGGUUGUAAAGCUCGUUUCGGCGGGGAAGAGUAAUGACGGUACCCGCAGAAGAAGCCCGGCUAACUCGUGCCAGCAGCCGC